rnacentral:rRNA from 1 species
CAGCAGCCGCGGUAAUACGUAGGUGGCAAGCGUUGUCCGGAAUUAUUGGGCGUAAAGGGCUCGCAGGCGGUUUCUUAAGUCUGAUGUGAAAGCCCCCGGCUCAACCGGGGAGGGUCAUUGGAAACUGGGAAACUUGAGUGCAGAAGAGGAGAGUGGAAUUCCACGUGUAGCGGUGAAAUGCGUAGAGAUGUGGAGGAACACCAGUGGCGAAGGCGACUCUCUGGUCUGUAACUGACGCUGAGGAGCGAAAGCGUGGGGAGCGAACAGGAUUAGAUACCGCGUAGUCCCUGUCUCUUAUACA